rnacentral:rRNA from 1 species
UGGGGAAUUUUGCACAAUGGGGGAAACCCUGAUGCAGCGACGCCGCGUGAUUUAGAAGGCCUUCGGGUUGUAAAAAUCUUUUCUAUGGGAAGAAAAUGACAGUACCAUAGGAAUAAGGACCGGCUAAUUACGUGCCAGCAGCCGCGGUAAUACGUAAGGUCCGAGCGUUGUCCGGAAUCAUUGGGCGUAAAGGGUACGUAGGCGGGUAAGCAAGUUAGAAGUGAAAUCCUGUAGCUCAACUACAGUAAGCUUUUAAAACUGCUCAUCUUGAGAUAUGGAAGGGAAAGAGGAAUUCCUAGUGUAGCGGUGAAAUGCGCAGAUAUUAGGAGGAAUACCGGUGGCGAAGGCGACUUUCUGGCCAUAAUCUGACGCUGGGGUACGAAAGCGUGGGUAGCAAACAGG